UAUGACCUACGGGACGCAGCAGUGGGGAAUAUUGCACAAUGGGGGAAACCCUGAUGCAGCGACGCCGCGUGAGUGAAGAAGUAUCUCGGUACGUAAAGCUCUAUCAGCAGGGAAGAAAAAUGACGGUACCUGAGUAAGAAGCACCGGCUAAAUACGUGCCAGCAGCCGCGGUAAUACGUAUGGUGCAAGCGUUAUCCGGAUUUACUGGGUGUAAAGGGAGCGCAGGCGGUGCGGCAAGUCUGAUGUGAAAGCCCGGGGCUCAACCCCGGGACUGCAUUGGAAACUACCGAACUAGAGUGUCGGAG
rnacentral:rRNA from 1 species